UGGGGAAUAUUGGACAAUGGGGGCAACCCUGAUCCAGCCAUGCCGCGUGAGUGAUGAAGGCCUUAGGGUUGUAAAGCUCUUUUGGCAGGGACGAUAAUGACGGUACCUGCAGAAUAAGCCCCGGCUAACUUCGUGCCAGCAGCCGCGGUAAUACGAAGGGGGCUAGCGUUGUUCGGAAUUACUGGGCGUAAAGCGCGCGUAGGCGGACUGGUCAGUUGGGGGUGAAAUCCCGGGGCUCAACCUCGGAACUGCCUUCAAUACUGCCAGUCUCGAGUCCGGGAGAGGUGAGUGGAAUUCCUAGUGUAGAGGUGAAAUUCGUAGAUAUUAGGAAGAACACCAGUGGCGAAGGCGGCUCACUGGCCCGGUACUGACGCUGAGGUGCGAAAGCGUGGGGAGCAAACAGGAUUAGAUACCCCCGUAGUCC
rnacentral:rRNA from 1 species